rnacentral:siRNA from 1 species
GGAGAGGUGAUGUUGAAU